rnacentral:rRNA from 1 species
GACGAACGCUGGCGGCGUGCUUAACACAUGCAAGUCGAACGAUGAAGCGGUGCUUGCACCGUGGAUUAGUGGCGAACGGGUGAGUAAUACGUGAGUGACCUACCUUUGACUCUGGGAUAAGCCUGGGAAACUGGGUCUAAUACCGGAUACGACCAAUCUCUGCAUGGGGUGUUGGUGGAAAGCGUUAUGGAGUGGUUUUAGAUGGGCUCACGGCCUAUCAGCUUGUUGGUGAGGUAAUGGCUUACCAAGGCGACGACGGGUAGCCGGCCUGAGAGGGUGACCGGCCACACUGGGACUGAGACACGGCCCAGACUCCUACGGGAGGCAGCAGUGGGGAAUAUUGCACAAUGGGCGCAAGCCUGAUGCAGCGACGCCGCGUGAGGGAUGACGGCCUUCGGGUUGUAAACCUCUGUUAGCAUCGAAGAAGCGAGAGUGACGGUAGGUGCAGAGAAAGCGCCGGCUAACUACGUG